AUUGAACGCUAGCGGGAUGCCUUACACAUGCAAGUCGAACGGAGUGGCGAACGGGUGAGUGAUGUAUCGGAAUGUGCCCAGUAGCGGGGGAUAACUACGCGAAAGCGAAGCUAAUCCCGCAUCCUUUUUGAUCGGCCGAUAGCGGGUUAGCUAGUUGGUGGGGUAACGGCUCACCAAGGCGACGAUCCGUAGCUGGUUUGAGAGGACGACCAGCCACACUGGGACUGUGACACGGCCCAGACUCCAACGGGAGGCAGCAGUGGGGAAUUUUGGACAAGGGGGGAAAUCCUGAUCAAGCCAGCCCGCGUGGGGGAUGAAGGCCUUCGGGUUGUAAAGUAUGUUUGGCAGGAAGGCGGUACCUACAGAGUAAGCACCGGCUAACUACGUGCCAGCAGCCGCGGUAAUUC
rnacentral:rRNA from 1 species